rnacentral:rRNA from 1 species
UGGGGAAUAUUGCGCAAUGGGCGAAGGCCUGACGCAGCAACGCCGCGUGAGUGAUGAAGGCCUUCGGGUCGUAAAGCUCUGUCGGAGGGAACGAAUGCUCCUGAAGUUAACAGCCUCAGGAGGUGACGGUACCCUCAAAGGAAGCACCGGCUAACUCUGUGCCAGCAGCCGCGGUAAUACAGAGGGUGCAAGCGUUGUUCGGAUUUACUGGGCGUAAAGGGCGCGUAGGCGGUGUGUCAAGUCAGUUGUGAAAUCUCCGAGCUUAACUCGGAACGGUCAACUGAUACUGUCACACUAGAGUACAGAAGGGGCAAUCGGAAUUCUUGGUGUAGCGGUGAAAUGCGUAGAUAUCAAGAGGAACACCUGAGGCGAAGGCGGGUUGCUGGGCUGAUACUGACGCUGAGGCGCGAAAGCUAGGGUAGCAAACGGGAUUAGAUACCCCAGUAGUCCCUGAGCGGGCUGGCAAGGCGCAU